UGUCCAUGAUGAUUCAACUUCGGUCCGUGUUUUUGAAAUUUCCAUGAUAGUAGUUUGAAGUGCUGAGAAC